rnacentral:snRNA from 1 species
UCAUAUAACUGGUGAUCUGGCUGUGGCAUCUUUNAUUCCAUUAGUCAGCCAGAGUUGAUUUGGCUUACCUGGCAAGCCAGACAGGUGCGCCUUUCUCCCUCGCAACUGUUUCUGUGUUCCUUGCAAAGCUGCCUGCUCCGUGAAUGAGGACAGCUUUGGCCUGAAAGAAAAGGACCGUUCUUCAUUUGUAGCUGUAGGUAUCUGUACUUCACUGCUUCUCCAAAUAAACCCAAAUAAUAGCUGUGUGGUUUUGAACUAACCUAUGCUUCAUAUAAAAAAUGUUUAAUGUUAAAGGCCUGAAUUUU